GGACUUCCCAUUUGAAGGUGGC
rnacentral:miRNA from 1 species